UGGGGAAUUUUGGACAAUGGGGGAAACCCUGAUCCAGCAAUGCCGCGUGUGUGAAGAAGGCCUUCGGGUUGUAAAGCACUUUUGUCCGGAAAGAAAACCUUCGAGUGAAUACCUCGGGGGGAUGACGGUACCGGAAGAAUAAGCACCGGCUAACUACGUGCCAGCAGCCGCGGUAAUACGUAGGGUGCGAGCGUUAAUCGGAAUUACUGGGCGUAAAGCGUGCGCAGGCGGUUCGUUAAGACAGAUGUGAAAUCCCCGGGCUUAACCUGGGAACUGCAUUUGUGACUGGCGAGCUAGAGUAUGGCAGAGGGGGGUAGAAUUCCACGUGUAGCAGUGAAAUGCGUAGAGAUGUGGAGGAAUACCGAUGGCGAAGGCAGCCCCCUGGGCCAAUACUGACGCUCAUGCACGAAAGCGUGGGGAGCAAACA
rnacentral:rRNA from 1 species